ensembl:Mt_tRNA
CAGGGGGUAGUUUAAUAAGAAUAUCAGCUUUGGGUGCUGAUGGUAGGACUGAGUGUCUUUUCCCUGA